GGUGUUUUUUUUUUGUUUUUUUUUUUUUUGCAAUUUACAUACAUUAUAGACACGGUAUCAUCGUCAUCUCUUCUCACAUCUUCAUUCAUUCCUUCUCUCUUUAUUUUCGCUCUGGCAGUGUUUUGGCGUCAAGUUGUGUCAAACCAUUCCGUACAAUUUGUUUGUUUUGUUCAGACAAGUUUAUCAUUAACAAGUAUUUACGUAAUAUUAACUGAAACUCAUUCAUCAAACAUCCCAUUAGCUCAAACGAAACAUAGCUCUCACGUACUGAACACAAUGGACAGGCGGACAAGAGACAAGAGGACAGGAGAAGGCUGAUAAUAAGCUGAUAAAUUAUAGCAGUCAUAUUUAGUUAUGCACAAUCUCAAUCUGAAUCUGAAUUUGAAUGUGAAUCUAAAUCUGAAUAGGAAUCGGAAUCGGCAUAGAACUCCUGUAUAUUCUGUAUAUCUAUCUGUUGAACACAAUGCAAUACGAAUCCAAUUUCCAAUCAUGAACAACUCAAAGCCGCUCUCUGCUUUCUUUUUACCAUUUUCCCUUUUAGUU